rnacentral:lncRNA from 1 species
AACAAAAUACCAAAUUACAUUAAAAAUUACCAGCACCUACGCCCCAUGUAAUGGACGAAACCUACAGUAUCACACUUGUACUGUAUCAUUAAAUAAUAAAUCAAUCAUUUUUUUUAAUAUAUAAUAAAAAUAUUUUUUUAUUAAUCAUAAUGGAACGUGUGAAUUUAAAAAGUACAAUUCUAUUGGUUGAGAACGCCACGUCAAUAAUAUAAGUAGUGCAUUUUAAAUUUUUUCCACAUAAUAAAAAAGUAAAAAUUUAUGUAGACUGUACCCACCGCCUGAAAUAGUGCAUUGAAAGGCCGAUUUCAAAAUAAACUACAGUUGAGAUAUUUAAACUCUAAAAAGGAGUGUAGAUCUUACAUCCGUCAAUUUAGGAUUCAUAAAAAUCUAAAAAUAGGUUUUCGUGAAAUACAAAAAAAUUGAUAUGAUAAAUAAAGAAUUAAUAACUGUUAAAUAGAAUGGGUGAAAAAUAUUAUGCCUUGUUUUG